GGUUGCUCAGUGGUAGAGUACGUGCCUUGCAAGCAUGAGGCCCUGAGUUUGAUUCUUCAGAAUCA
rnacentral:tRNA from 1 species